UACGUAGGUGGCAAGCGUUGUCCGGAUUUACUGGGCGUAAAGAGCGCGCAGGCGGUCGUUCAAGUCGCGUGUGAAAGCCCCCGGCUCAACUGGGGAGGGUCACGCGAUACUGAUCGACUCGAAGGCAGGAGAGGGAAGUGGAAUUCCCGGUGUAGUGGUGAAAUGCGCAGAUAUCAGGAGGAACACCAGCGGCGAAGGCGGCGCUCUGGGCCGGUACUGACGCUGAGGAGCGAAAGCGUGGGUAGCAAACAGG
rnacentral:rRNA from 1 species